rnacentral:snRNA from 1 species
AUGCUUACCUGGUGUGAGGGCUACCGUGAUCAGAAGGGUGGCUCCCUUUAGGGCGAGGCCUUUCCGCAUUUCGUUCGGGCUGCAACGUGCAACCCCUGCGAGUUUCUUUAAUGCAUAUCUCGGCGAGACGGGUCAGCGUUCGCGCUAUCCCGGG